rnacentral:rRNA from 1 species
UGGGGAAUUUUGGACAAUGGGGGAAACCCUGAUCCAGCCAUCCCGCGUGUGCGAUGAAGGCCUUCGGGUUGUAAAGCACUUUUGGCAGGAAAGAAACGUCAUGGGUUAAUACCCCGUGAAACUGACGGUACCUGCAGAAUAAGCACCGGCUAACUACGUGCCAGCAGCCGCGGUAAUACGUAGGGUGCAAGCGUUAAUCGGAAUUACUGGGCGUAAAGCGUGCGAAGGCGGUUCGGAAAGAAAGAUGUGAAAUCCCAGAGCUAAACUUUGGAACUGCAUUUUUAACUACCGGGCUAGAGUGUGUCAGAGGGAGGUGGAAUUCCGCGUGUAGCAGUGAAAUGCGUGGAUAUGCGGAGGAACACCGAUGGCGAAGGCAGCCUCCGGGGAUAACACUGACGCGCAUGAACGAAAGCGUGGGGAGAAAACAGG